UUUAAAUUCCUAAUAAUAUUUUGAAAGAUACGGCGUGAACAUUUAUAAAAAAAAUGAAAAAUAAAUUUGAUAACACAAAGAAUUACAGGUGCCAAAAUUCAAAAAUAAAAAAUAGAUGGAUUAAAAAUAAAAAAUCAUAUAUUUAUAAAGCUUAAAAAUGAUAUAUAGUUAUUAUAUUUUUUAUGCUUGUAAUUGGAUCAAU
rnacentral:lncRNA from 1 species